UCUGGAGGUAGGACGACUACUCGCCCUAGGCGAGAGGAAAGUCCAGGCAGCAGAAGGCAGGGUGUCCGCCGUAAGGCGGAGCGGGUAACCGCCAGUAGGAGCCACAGAGACUAUGUCGGCUUCAAUACUUAAAAUGUAUUGAAACACGAGUGAAAAGGGGCAAUCCUCCCCGCUGCAACCUCCGAAAGGGACGUUAUUAGGUGCCUUCCCGAGUCCCGAGGUUUGAGGGCUUAGAUGGAUUGUCGUUUAGAAACAGAACCUGGCUUAUUAGCCUCCAGGGCAC
rnacentral:RNase_P_RNA from 2 species